rnacentral:rRNA from 1 species
GUGAGGAAUAUUGCGCAAUGGAGGCAACUCUGACGCAGCCAUGCCGCGUGCAGGAAGAAGGCGCUACGCGUUGUAAACUGCUUUUAACCGGGAAGAAACCCCAGGACGUGUCCUGGGUUGACGGUACCGGAGGAAUAAGCACCGGCUAACUUCGUGCCAGCAGCCGCGGUAAUACGAAGGGUGCAAGCGUUAUCCGGAUUCAUUGGGUUUAAAGGGUGCGUAGGCAGAGCGUUAAGUCAGUGGUGAAAUCCUGCAGCUUAACUGUAGACUUGCCAUUGAUACUGGCGCUCUUGAGUGCGCUUGAAGUGGGCGGAAUGUGCCGUGUAGCGGUGAAAUGCUUAGAUAUGGCACAGAACACCAAUUGCGAAGGCAGCUCACUAAGGCGAUACUGACGCUGAGGCACGAAAGCGUGGGGAUCGAACAGGAUUAGAAACCCUAGUAGUCC